rnacentral:rRNA from 1 species
GGCCCGCCGCGGUAACGACGGGUAACGGGGAAUCAGGGGUUCGAUUCCGGAGAGGGAGCCCGAGAAACGGCUACCACUUCCAAGGAAGGCAGCAGGCGCGCAACUUACCCUAAUCUCGAUUCGAGGAGGUAGUGACAAGAAAUACCGAUGCGGGGACCCUACGGGUGCCGCGUUCGGAAUGAGUACGAUUCGAACCACCUAACGAGGAACGAUCGGAGGGCAAGUCUGGUGCCAGCAGCCGCGGUAAUUCCAGCUCCAAUAGCGUACGUUAAAGUUGCUGCAGUUAAAAAGCUCGUAGUUGAACGUUCGGGUUCCGCGGGACGGGGCCGCCCCGCGAGGGACGGCGCCGCCCCGGGGCUCGUGAUAUCUUAUCUCGCCGCCCGUCGCGAGGCGGACGGAGGGAUGGAUGAGGUUACCUGGAAAAAAUCGGGGC